UACGGGGGGGGCAAGCGUUGUUCGGAUUUACUGGGCGUAAAGGGCUCGUAGGUGGCCAAUUAAGUCGGACGUGAAAUCCCCAGGCUCAACUUGGGAACUGCGUCUGAUACUGGUUGGCUUGAAUUCGGGAGAGGGAUGCAGAAUUCCAGGUGUAGCGGUGAAAUGCGUAGAUAUCAAGAGGAACACCUGCGGCGAAGGCGGGUUGCUGGGCUGACACUGACGCUGAGGCGCGAAAGCUAGGGGAGCGAACGGG
rnacentral:rRNA from 1 species